CAGCAGAUAUUUUCUCUUUGAGCCCUGAGAGAGAAACAACUGCCGCUACUUAGAAUUGAACUCAACUUUCCGAGUGGGAGGAGAGCAUAUUCACCACUAGGCCACCACGAGUCUCCACAUCUUUUUUACAUCAUGGCAACCAAAACUGGAUGCAGUAUUCCAAAUGUGGCCUUACCAAGACCCAGUAAUCCAGCACACCUGCCUUUGAUCCCAAAGAAUCAAAACUUUUCUUUCUCCAGCCAUGAGGAAAGAUUGACAGAAAAUCCACCUCUCUACAGGAUUUCAUAGCUUGCUUUUUUUUCCUUUUAAAGAAGCAGGUUCUACGUCUGAGAGGCAGGAAGAUGCAUUCUAUAUUUAGCACAAGUGCCUGACAGUCUGGAUGAUUAUGAAAUAUGAAUGCAAGUUGACUUCACAACAGAUUGUCUAAAAUGUUUGCAUUUCUAUGUGGAAAAACGCUUUUAAAAAAUUGGACACAAAUACAUAUAUUAUUUCAGAUUUACAGUAUAACUGAAUCCGAACUUUUCAUUUGGGCUAAUGGAUAGGCAACACGAAAAAAAAAGAAGUCCUGAAACUUUGUUUUCAUGAAUGACAACUGCUGCGAGGCUACUGAUAUGCUCAGAAAAUAGAAAGGUUUGACGCUACCCACAAUGGGGGAAUGGGUGAUGCGGGUGAUGCAACUUGUGGAGAUGGCUAAAUUAACUUCUUUGAUCAGAGAAAAUCUACAUUUAUAGCUAACUGGAAAUCCCUUGUAGACUUCUUUGCACGAAACGGAAAAAAUGAACUUCUGACUUGUGGUAUUUAUUAUUAGGAAAAAAGGUUAAUAGAAAAAGGUGAGAUUUUUUUUAAUAAUCAUAGAGUAAGAGAUAAUUUUGUACUUAUAUUUGUUGCAAAGGCAAUUGGAAGCUUCUUUCUAUUUCUUUUUAUUCUUUAUUUCUGCACUUUCGCUUCUUUCUCUUUCUUUUUUUCUUUCUUUUUUCAUUUCUUUCUUUUCCUUUCUUUCUCUUCCUUCCUUGCUUCCUUCCUUCUUUCUUUCUUUUUCAUUUCUCUCUUUCUUUCCA